rnacentral:lncRNA from 1 species
UUUAUUUUAGACUUGUAUUUGAAAUUAGCAUGGUAUCGUGUGAAAUUUUUAUAUUAUUGACUUAAAAGAUUAAAAUCAAAUACUAAAUAUAUUACAAACAUUAAAAUAAAAUAACAAGACAAACAAAAAAAAUGUAAGGACUGACACUAAGUACUUACAUGGAAUUAAACAGAAAUUCUAUAUAAUUGAAGUAUACAAUUACAUAUAUAAGCCAAAUAUUAA